UACGGAGGGUGCAAGCGUUAUCCGGAUUCACUGGGUUUAAAGGGUGCGUAGGCGGGUUGGUAAGUCAGUGGUGAAAUCUCCGAGCUUAACCCGGAAACUGCCAUUGAUACUAUUUGUCUUGAAUACUGUGGAGGUCAGCGGAAUAAUGUCAUGUAGCGGUGAAAUGCUUAGAUAAUGACUAGAACACCAAUUGCGAAGGCAGCUGGCUACACAAAUAUUGACACUGAGGCACGAAAGCGUGGGGAUCAAACAGG
rnacentral:rRNA from 1 species